rnacentral:tRNA from 1 species
GCCGACGUAGCUCAGGGGCAGAGCACCGCUCUGGUAAUGCGGGGGUCGCGGGUUCGAAUCCCGCCGUCGGCU